UACAGAGGGGGCAAGCGUUAUUCGGAAUUAUUGGGCGUAAAGGAGCUGUAGGCGGCCUGUCGCGUCGGCUGUGAAAACCUGGGGCUCAACCCCGGGCCUGCAGCCGAUACGGGCAAGCUAGAAUUCGGUAGGGGAGACUGGAAUUCCUGGUGUAGCGGUGAAAUGCGCAGAUAUCAGGAGGAACACCGGUGGCGAAGGCGGCUACCUGGACCAGCACUGACACUGAGGCACGAAAGCGUGGGGAGCAAACAGG
rnacentral:rRNA from 1 species